rfam:Schistosoma margrebowiei strain Zambia genome assembly, scaffold: SMRZ_scaffold0003163
AACUUUUCGAAUCCAUGCUGAGAUUUCGUCAGACACCAACCCAUUAGGGCUAGUCAGACUACAAGAUAAGUGAAGUU